rnacentral:rRNA from 1 species
CCGAGUGGUAAAGCAAGGAGUUAUGGCGUUGCGAACUUUGUCGCACAACGACCAAACAAAAAGCCAACACAUGCAAGGGAAAGAACAUUAAGUGCUGAGUGCAAAACUAGUGGCGGACGGGUGAGUAACGCGUGGGCAACCUACCCAUAAGAGGGGGAUAACAGCUGGAAACGGCUGCUAAUACCGCAUAAGCUUAGCUGGACGCAUGUUUGGUUAAGUAAAGGAGGCUUAGGCUUCCGCUUAUGGAUGGGCCCGCGUCUGAUUAGCUAGUUGGUAGGGUAACGGCCUACCAAGGCGACGAUCAGUAGCCGGCCUGAGAGGGUGUACGGCCACACUGGGACUGAGACACGGCCCAGACUCCUACGGGAGGCAGCAGUGGGGAAUUUUGGACAAUGGGGGAAACCCUGAUCCAGCAAUGCCGCGUGCAGGAUGAAGGCCUUCGGGUUGUAAACUGCUUUUGUACGGAACGAAAAGUCUUGGGUUAAUACCCUGGGAUCAUGACGGUACCGUAAGAAUAAGCACCGGCUAACUACGUG